rnacentral:rRNA from 1 species
UACGAAGGGGGGCUAGCGUUGCUCGGAAUCACUGGGCGUAAAGGGUGCGUAGGCGGGUCUUUUAAGUCAGGGGUGAAAUCCUGGAGCUCAACUCCAGAACUGCCUUUGAUACUGAGGAUCUUGAGUUCGGGGAGAGGUGAGUGGAACUGCGAGUGUAGAGGUGAAAUUCGUAGAUAUUCGCAAGAACACCAGUGGCGAAGGCGGCUCACUGGCCCGAUACUGGACGCUGAGGCACGAAAGCGUGGGGGAGCAAACAGG